rnacentral:rRNA from 1 species
AUACGGAGGGUGCGAGCGUUAAUCGGAAUUACUGGGCCUAAAGCGUACGUAGGCGGUUGGUUAAGUUAGAUGUGAAAGCCCCGGGCUUAACCUGGGAACUGCAUUUAAAACUGGCGAACUAGAGUUGAGUAGAGGGGAGUGGAAUUUCAGGUGUAGCGGUGAAAUGCGUAGAGAUCUGAAGGAACACCAGUGGCGAAGGCGACUCCCUGGACUCGAACUGACGCUGAGGUACGAAAGCGUGGGUAGCAAACGGGAUUAGAUACCCCAGUAGUCC